AGCGAACGCUGGCGGCAGGCUUAACACAUGCAAGUCGAACGGGCAUCUUCGGAUGUCAGCGGCAGACGGGUGAGUAACACGUGGGAACGUACCCUUCGGUUCGGAACAACUCUGGGAAACUGGAGCUAAUACCGGAUACGCCCUUAUGGGGAAAGGUUUACUGCCGAAGGAUCGGCCCGCGUCUGAUUAGCUAGUUGGUGGGGUAACGGCCUACCAAGGCGACGAUCAGUAGCUGGUCUGAGAGGAUGAUCAGCCACACUGGGACUGAGACACGGCCCAGACUCCUACGGGAGGCAGCAGUGGGGAAUAUUGGACGAUGGGCGCAAGCCUGAUCCAGCCAUGCCGCGUGAGUGAUGAAGGCCUUAGGGUUGUAAAGCUCUUUUGUCCGGGACGAUAAUGACGGUACCGGAAGAAUAAGCCCCGGCUAACUUCGUG
rnacentral:rRNA from 1 species